rnacentral:rRNA from 1 species
UACGAAGGGGGCGAGCGUUGUUCGGAAUUACUGGGCGUAAAGGGCUCGUAGGCGGCCAACUAAGUCGGAUGUGAAAUCCCCAGGCUUAACCUGGGAACUGCAUCCGAUACUGGAUGGCUUGAAUUCGGGAGAGGGAUGCAGAAUUCCAGGUGUAGCGGUGAAAUGCGUAGAUAUCUGGAGGAAUACCGGUGGCGAAGGCGGCAUCCUGGACCGACAUUGACGCUGAGUGAGCGAAAGCUAGGGGAGCAAACGGG